CCCGAGGAUGAUGACCACCUUUUCGUUGAAGAACCGACCAUUGCUGCGGAAACACUUAUAUUUGCACGUCAGUCUGACUCUCGGG
rnacentral:snoRNA from 1 species